CCGACCUUAGCUCAGUUGGAAGAGCACAAGACUGUAAUGGGUGCAUGAUCUGGAGUUUCCAAUCUUGGGGUCGCCUGUUCGAACCAGGCAGGUCGGA